UUUUUUUCCUUUUUUGUGUGUGUUUGUUUGACAAUUGCUAGGCUCGAGUUCCCGACUCCUUGGCAAUUUGUUGUUUGUUGUUCUUGUUGUGUGCUUGGAAGCUGAUGUAAGUCCAUCAAGUGGCAUUCGGGUUCCAGUGUGGUUUUGUUGGGUUCGGAUGCUGAUGUAAGUCCAGUGAUUGGCAGUCGGGCUCCACGUUUGCCCCUUUGUGUGUGUUUGGUUCGGAUGCUG
rnacentral:lncRNA from 1 species